rfam:Haemonchus contortus, ISE/inbred ISE, WGS project CAVP01000000 data, contig: Hcontortus_31812
GGCGCAAACUUGAAGUGGAGUACAUUGGUAUGGUCUGAUGAUCGUACUAAUGGACUCUACUUCAAAUUUGGGCCC